rnacentral:rRNA from 1 species
GACGUAGGGUGCGAGCGUUGUCCGGAUUUAUUGGGCGUAAAGAGCUCGUAGGCGGCCUGUCGCGUCGGUUGUGAAAGCCCGGGGCUUAACCCCGGGUCUGCAGUCGAUACGGGCAGGCUAGAGUUCGGUAGGGGAGAUCGGAAUUCCUGGUGUAGCGGUGAAAUGCGCAGAUAUCAGGAGGAACACCGGUGGCGAAGGCGGAUCUCUGGGCCGAUACUGACGCUGAGGAGCGAAAGCGUGGGGAGCGAACAGG